rnacentral:rRNA from 1 species
AGAGCGAACGCUGGCGGCAGGCUUAACACAUGCAAGUCGAGCGGGCGUAGCAAUACGUCAGCGGCAGACGGGUGAGUAACGCGUGGGAACGUACCUUUUGGUUCGGAACAACACAGGGAAACUUGUGCUAAUACCGGAUAAGCCCUUACGGGGAAAGAUUUAUCGCCAAAAGAUCGGCCCGCGUCUGAUUAGCUAGUUGGUGAGGUAACGGCUCACCAAGGCGACGAUCAGUAGCUGGUCUGAGAGGAUGAUCAGCCACAUUGGGACUGAGACACGGCCCAAACUCCUACGGGAGGCAGCAGUGGGGAAUAUUGGACAAUGGGCGCAAGCCUGAUCCAGCCAUGCCGCGUGAGUGAUGAAGGCCCUAGGGUUGUAAAGCUCUUUCGACGGGGACGAUAAUGACGGUACCCGUAGAAGAAGCUCCGGCUAACUUCGUGCCAGCAGCCGC